UAGGCUCACAGGGACAGUAACCAGACACUCGAGCGGUGCGAUGCCUGGGGAGGCAUCCUCUCCUGGACUACUGAGGAUACUUUAUUUCCCCCGAUUAUUAUUAACUCUGUGCUUGCAAACUCCUCGGUCUUAUCCUAUCAGACUUCCCGCAGACUAUCCACCCUGUUCUCCAAACUGGAAACCCCGGGGUGAGGACCUCAGACUGCCAGCUCCCCUUCACAGCCACACGGACACUCACUCACCCAGUUCCCCUGACGUCACCUCCUCACCACCUCCCCACAACACCCACUCCU